GGAAGCCGGUGCGAAGCCGGCGCGGUCGCGCCACUGUAACCGGGGAGCCGGCCUUCCCGGAAGCCAGAC
rnacentral:misc_RNA from 1 species